rnacentral:pre_miRNA from 1 species
UCCACACCCAUGCGUGUAGGACCCAAAAGGAGCACCAUUAAAUUUGGCACAGAUCUCUAGAAAAGUUAUCACAUGGGUGUGGGAUUUGACUUUUUUAGAGAUCUGUGCUAAAUUUAAUGGUGAUCCUUUGAGGUCCUACACACAUGGGUGUGGG